UCUCAUAUCAUACGCGAGUGCAUGACCACCUUAUACUAUGUUUAACCGUCUCAGGAGGUCUUCGACUAUUCAUAGAACCACGGUUACACUCGUAACCAGCGUUCUACCUGGGUGCUAAGUGGGCUAAUGUAACCUUUGUUAUUUUGUAUAUUUUAUUAGAACAGGGUGUCAGAAGCUUUCAAAUUAAUACCUCAAGAAAAAACUUUUUUUUACAGUUUUUUUAAUGUUCAAACCAGUGUCAGAUUUAGGCUCAUUCUGCCUCAAAUCCAUGAAUGGAUGAGUAGCAGCAGUUGGAGCACAACUGGAAUACUACUACACAUUAAAAGGGUGGAGGCCCUCCAUGUAAUCCUCUAUCUGAGAUUGCUGAGAUAGUAGAGGAGAUAUUGGGAAUGGCCAAUCCUUCUAUUUGUGGCAUCGCAGAUGCCCCAGACCCUGCACUGCUCAAACUGAAGGAGUUACAAAGAUGUGUGGAUGAUGCUGGAGCCGGUCCAUCUGACGCAUCUUCUCCUGUAUCAUCUCAGGACAUCUCCUCGUGUGCUCCAGAUGAGCCUUCUCCCUCACAAGACACAGGGUUUGCACAGAGUGCAGCCCCUGAGGAUGACAAGUGUCUUAAAAGAAAAAAGCUCAAUUUACAAAUAAAGUUGCUGGAAAUUCAAAAUGAAUUACGCAGUAAAACUGAAAAGAUUAAA